rnacentral:rRNA from 1 species
ACGUAGGAUCCGAGCGUUAUCCGAAUUUACUGGGCGUAAAGCGCGUGCAGGCGGUCUGAUAAGUUGGAUGUGAAAGCUCCUGGCUCAACUGGGAGAGGCCGUUCAAAACUAUCAGACUAGAGGGCGGUAGAGGGAGGAGGAAUUCCCGGUGUAGCGGUGACAUGCGGAGAUAUCGGGAGUAAGACCAGUGGGGAAGGCGGGCUACUGGGCUGUGCCUGACGCGCAGACGCGAAAGCGAUGGGAGAAAAGGG